UGAUGCCUACGGGGGGCAGCAGUGAGGAAUAUUGGUCAAUGGGCGGGAGCCUGAACCAGCCAAGUCGCGUGAGGGAAGACGGUCCUAUGGAUUGUAAACCUCUUUUGUCGGGGAGCAAAGAGAGUCACGUGUGGCUCAUUGAGAGUACCCGAAGAAAAAGCAUCGGCUAACUCCGUGCCAGCAGCCGCGGUAAUACGGAGGAUGCGAGCGUUAUCCGGAUUUAUUGGGUUUAAAGGGUGCGCAGGCGGGAGAUCAAGUCAGCGGUAAAAUGUCGGGGCUCAACCCCGGCCGGCCGCUGAAACUGG
rnacentral:rRNA from 1 species